AAUAUCAAGAGAAAGUAUACAGCUAGUACUAGAAGCAGUUCAGAAUUACACCAUGACAUGAGGUAACUGGAGUUCAAUGUCUUAGGGCAUUUUGUAACUGAUCCCCUAAAAAUAAAGGAGGAUCCAGCGGAAUAAAUCCUUAUGGAGUAUCUUCACUCUGUUAGGAAAGCAACUUGUAUUCCCAUGAGGCCAUAGGCCAGUAUAUAUACACGUACAGGUGGUGGACUAUAUGCAAGAAACCCCUUAUAUGUUGGGAUAAAUACAAAGAGUACAUGACUUAUAUUAUAACUCUAACACCCCCCUCAAACUCAUGGUGGAUGAACAACAUUGAGUUUGGAGAGAUAAAAGCCAUGUUGUGCUCUAGUCUGGGCCUUCGUCAGGAAAUCCGCCAACUGUAACUCGGAAGGCACAUACUGAAGAGCAAUAACCUGAUCCUGCACAGCAGCGCGCACAUAGAAAGCAUCAACGCCAAUAUGCUUGGUGAGCUCAUGCUUCAUAGGGUCGCGCGCAAUGCUAAUAGCAACUGUACUGUCAGAUAAGAGCAGAGUCGGUGUAGUGACAGAAACAACAAAAUCCUGAAGUAACCACCGUAACCAAGUCAGCUCUGCCGUCAAAAGAGCCAUCGCUCGCAACUCAGCCUCUGCACUCGAACGGGAAAUUGCAAUCUGUUUCUUCGUCUUUCAGGCAAUGAGAGAACCACCAAGAAAAACACAGUAAGCAGAAAAUGAACGGCGAUCUGAAGGAUCACUAGCCUACGUAGCAUCCGAAUACGCCUGAAGCUGUAAGGAACUGGAGCGAGGAAAGAAUAGACGGUGAGAGAUCGUGCCCCUAAGAUAUCGGAGAACACGGAGGAGAUGACUAUAGUGAACCGAUGUGGGAGCAGAGACGAACUGACUCAGAAUAUGAACCGGAUAAGAGAUAUCCGGACGAGUGACAGCUAGGUAAACAAGACUGCCAACAAGAUGACUAUAACGCGUCGGGUCAGGCAGGGGAUCACCAUCAGUAGCACAGAGGUGAACAUUGAGCUCCAUAGGAGUCUGAACAAUGCGCUGAUCACCAUCAGUAGCACAGAGGUGAACAUUGAGCUCCAUAGGAGUCUCAACAAUGCGCUAAUCAGUAAGAGCAGCAAGAGCAAGAAGAUCCUGGAUAUACUUUUCCUGGGAUAUAAAGAAGCCAUCAGAGGUAGAAGAAACUUCAAUCCGAAGAAAGUAGCGAAGAGGUCCAAGAUCAGACAUAAGGAACUGCUCACUAAGACAGGCCUUAACAAAGGCAAUAUACUCGGGGUCAUCCCCAGUGAUGACCAUGUCAUCAACAUAGAGAAGAAGAAGAGUCCGACCACGAGGAGAAAGGUGAAUAAACAAUGCUGGAUCAUGAACACUGGGUGAAAAACCAGCGGCAGUCACCACAGAGGCAAAACGCUCAAACCAGGCGCGGGGGGCUUGCUUAAGGCCAUAGAGAGAGCGACGAAGACGACAUACCAUGCCAUCACGAACAGAAUACCCAGGUGAUGACUGCAUGUACACCUCCUCACGCAGCUCACCAUUAAGAAAAGCAUUCUUAACAUCAAGCUGAGAGAUAGACCAGUGGCGUGUAGAGGCCACGGCAAGAAGUGUACGAAGAGUGGUCAUAUGAGCCACAAGAGCAAAAGUCUCGUCAUAAUCACGACCAUGCUCCUGCUGAAAACCACGAGCCACAAGACGAGCUUUGUGACGCUCAAGAGAACCAUCGGAGCGAGUCUUAACCUUGUAGACCCACUUACAAGUGAUGGGACGGACUCCGGGAGGAAGGGAAACAAGAUCCCACGUACCAGUGCAUUCAAGAGCAGCAAUCUCCUCUGCCAUCGCAAACUGCCAUUCAGGAUGAACAACAGCCUGAUGAUAAGUAGUAGGCUCAAGAACAGCAGCACCAGCGGUGGAAAAUCCAAAGCGAUCAACAGGCGGACGAGGACGAGAACGCAAGCCAUAAGUAGGCUGAGACGAGGAUGACGACACAUCCACAGAGGCAUCCACAGAACGUGAACGACAAGUGUAACACUGAGGAAAAGAUGGAACAAUGGGAGGAGAAAUCGCCAAGGUAGAAUCGGGGAGUGGCGACGAAGAAGUCACCGGAGAUGAAGGUGUAGAAUCCGGUGACAUGCUAGACGAGGAGACCGUGGAAGAUGGUGGCGACAAAUCGACUGGAGGUGGAGAAGCAGAGGGAGCGGAACGAAUAGGCAAAGGCUCGACGGGUGUGAUAGGUGUGUCAGGAAAAGUGAGGAAAGAGAUAUCCUCCACUGAAAAGGUCGAGGAAGAUGGGCGUGGGUAGAAGGGACGAGACUCAUCGAAAGUCACAUCCCGAGAGAUACGCAUCCGACGACCGAUAGGAUCCCAACAACGAUAGCCCUUAUGCUCAUCACUAUAGCCUAAGAAGACACACUGAAUAGACUGAGCGGUCAGUUUGGUGUGUUCACGGGGGGGGGGGGCAAGAAGAACAUAGCAAACACAACCAAACAAGCGAACCAUCGAAUAAUUGGGAGAACGAUCAAAAAGACGCUCGAAAGGAACACCACCAUGUAGAGCAGCGGAAGGUUGGAAAUUGAUAAGAUAGGUGGAAGUGGAGACGGCCUCAGCCCAAAAAUGAGGCGGGAGAGAGGCAACAAUCAUCAAUGCACGAGCCGUCUCAAGAAGAUGACGAUGCUUGCGCUCAGCCACACCAUUCUGAGCGUGAGCACCAGGACAAGAGAAUUAAGAGAGAGUCCCUUGCUCAGCAAGAACACCACGCAACAUCUUAGAGAUAUACUUGCCAGCGGAGUCAGCACGGAAAACACGAAUGGGAGAAGAGAAUUGAGUAUGAACCAUGGCAGCAAAACACUUAUAAAUGGACAACACCUCACUACGAGAAGUCAUGAAAUAAAGCCAUGUGUAACGAGAGAAGUCAUCUAUGAAAAUAAUAUAGUAUUUAUGACCCCCUUUCGAAGCGAAGGGAGCCGGACCCCAUACAUCGGAAUGAACUAAAUCAAAAGGACGCUUAGACACUGACUCACUAUGUGGAUAUGGUAACUGAAUCUGCUUGCCAAGACGACAACCCUGACACUCUAAAGAGGCAUCUCCUGAGACAGACUCCAGAAGACCUCGACGAACUAACGACGACAAACGAGAACCACACAGAUGACCAAGUCGAUGAUGCCACUGCUGGAAGGAACCAGUAGCCGAGGCGACCAAAGCGGAAGAACUGGCGAUAAAGUGGGCAGCGGAAGGAACAUGAAGCCAGUCCAACUCCCAUAGACCCUCGGAAUCACGGCGGCGAGGACCAGCCCCAACCAGAGUGUGCAUACGACGGUCCUGGACAGAACAAGAGUCAAGGUCAAGGAUGACACGACAACCAGAAUCAGCAAGUUGACCAGCGGAAAACAGAUUCAUGGUAAGUCGAGGAAUAUGAGCAACAUCAGGAACAGAAUAAAAAGGAGUAGUAAGAGUGCCUCUACUAACGACAGGAAGGGGAGUACCAUCAGCGGUGAGGACAUGAACAGGAGAAUCAAGCGAUCGAAGAGAGGACAGAGUGGAAGAAUUAGAAGUCAUAUAAAAAGAAGCUCCAGAGUCCAGAACCCAUGGGGAUGUACCUGACUGUGUAGAAGGUGGUUGCUCAAUGCGGGAAGCCUCAGUCACAGAACCAGCAGUACCCGUCGAGGAAGAACCUGAAGCAACGAGCAGACGCUUAAGCCUCAGAAUAUCCUGCUCGACCAAAGUGAUGGCUGAAGCUGUCGAGGUAGAUGACGAAGUCGCUGUAGAUGAUGAUCGCGCCUUGCGCAAGUGUUUCUUCUUCGUGUAGCAGUUGGACUCAAUAUGACCAUCAUUGUUGCAGUAGCCAUAAUGUGGACGGGGGCGACCUGAGCCUCCGGAAGGAGUGGGCAAGAGCGGCGGAGCACUCGAGCGAGAAGGGGUCAGUGCAGGAGGUGGCGUAGAAAGAGCCCGAGUAGCGAGCACCGAGGGAACCUCCAGCAAACUAGCACCACGUAAGCGAGUCUCCUCAGCACGAAUCUCAGAAAGCGCCUCCAUGAGAGAAAUACGGCCACGAGCAAACAACUGAGCACGGCGAGGCUCAAACUCCUUACGGAGCCUAGACAGGAACUCGUAGACGCGAUGAAACUCCAAAUCGUCCUGGACAGCCUGGCAACAGGGGCAACUACGACAACCUGCACUGCGAAGAGAAUCAAGCUGGCGCCAGAUAGCAGAACUCUGUGCAUAGAAGUCAUCAACAGUAGAGUCACCCUGCUGAAGAGCAUGCUCCUGACGAACCACAGAGAGGUAUAAAGCAUCACCAGAGAGCUCAUAGCACUGACGAAGGCGAGUCCACAUCUCAAAGACAGUAGGAAGGCCCAGAAACUCAGAGGCAAACUGAGGCAGAACACUGGCAGUGAGAACAGCUGCAGCACGGGCAUCAUCAUCAAGCCACUGGGUGUAAACAGACAGAGCACCAUGAUACACCUGAAGAGCCUCCUCAUAAGUUAAAACCUUCUCAUCAUAAGCAUGAAUAGCAGCCUCAUCAGCAACCUUAGCCGCAUCCUUCGCAGCCUGAGGAGCAUCCGCGGGAAGAACCGGUGGAGUCGGAGGAGUGGGAGCCACGGGAGGAACCGGACGUGGCGGACAACAGACCUCGCCAGAGAGAACUCCCCAGAGAUGGAUGCCACGCAUGUGAAUGCGCAUGAAGCCAGUGAACUCGGUGUAGUUGGUACCAUCGAAGAUCACCGAACAGCGAGGGACAACAACAUAGCCAGAUGCAGUGGACAUUUUUUUCCCCCCCCCCUAGUAAAGGAAAUCAGUCAACGGGAGGAAACCGCGUCGACAGCAGAGGGCGAGACUGGAUCUGGAGGCCGCGUCGGCAGUGGAAACCGCGUCGGCUGGAUCAGAUCAAGGCGCGGAGGCGAAUCCCGAUCGCAAAAUCAGGCAACGGAAUCCCUGGGACAACACGCUAGGGUCGCGGUCAACGGAACAACACGGCAGGGUCGCGGGGCGACUGGAUCGGUCCUGGCGGCGCGUUGCAGAUCGAGGAGGGGCGACUGGAUCGGUCCUGGCGGCGCAUUGCGGAUCGAGGAGGGGCGACUGGAUCAGCGGGGCGGCUCGGGCGACUGGAUCGGCGGGAAGGCGCGAGAUCGAGCUGCCUCGCAACGGGAGGAUCCUGGAGACAAGAUCCAGCGAGACCGAGGCAGGACGGGAGGAGAAACUGCGUCGGCGGCUGUGUUAGAAGAUUGGAUCGGGAAGAGCACGAGUUGCGCGUGCGAAAAAGAACCUAGGCUCUAAUACCAUGUUAGGAAAGCAACUUGUAUUCCCAUGAGGCCAUAGGCCAGUAUAUAUACACGUACAGGUGGUGGACUAUAUGCAGAAAACCCCUUAUAUGUUGGGAUAAAUACAAAGAGUACAUGACUUAUAUUAUAACUCUAACACACUCCACUAAGUUCUGGCUGGACCUAGCUGAUCCCCUAAAUAUAACGAAGUAUUUAUUUUAUUUCACCCCCUUCCAUUUCAUUUUCGGCCACCAAAACAAAUUUCAUUGCAUCUUUAUUUCAUUGAACGACAUUUCGAUACAUUGGAGCACAUAAUUUACCGAUUAUUCGCUAUGAGAACGAAACCAAAGAAAACAAGAACCACAAUUAGACACUUUAAUUGAUAUCCAACUUCCAUAACUGCUCCCACUAGUUGGAUUAAUAUUUUCUCUCUGUCUUCAUUGUCACUUUUUUCUUCUUCGGUUCCUCAAGCUUGCACACUUUUUUCUUCUUCGGUUCCGGUGAAUUUGAUAUUGUGUCGCAUUUAGUCUCAUCUCUAGUCUCUACUGUAGAGAGGAUAGCACGAACAUCUAUCAAAUUUCUCGCUAUCAAUAGAUCGAUAUAAUCUUCUUCCCAAUACCAAAACUUGCAUCCAUCCUACACACAAAUUUGAGCAAGCAAUGAGCCACAAACGGCGCCAAAUCCGAAGUACAGCCUAAUCAAAAGAAACACUCACCCCGUCUUUUUUGCACUUGAAAAACACCCAUCCGGGGUGUUCCUGCAUGGUGGAAACGCGGCGCACCACCUACCACGGGCAGUCGUCGCACUUUAUGACCGGCAACAGGGAGCCGACGAGCUACUGGGCCAGUGUCAAGCCCGACCAGCGGUUGGGCGUCUUUACUGGCAAACCUCCGACGAGUGAGAUCCGAGCGGCUAGAGGAGGCCAUACCUGCAUGCGGCACAGAGGCGUUGUUGGGGUUGUGCGGUUUGGUACCGGGUCAAUCCAUGGC
rnacentral:lncRNA from 1 species